rnacentral:lncRNA from 1 species
CUGCGCUCAGCCCUGCAGUGCGGAGGUGGCAACAGGUUCCCAUUUGUCCUGUUGCUGGCGCUGCGGGCGCUGUGGGCCCCGAGCACUGAGCUCUGACUUUGGAAAUUGAGCCCCUCAUGGCCUCCUCCCAAAUGCUUUCUCCCGGUGCGAGGACUUGGCAGCAGGGCUCCGCAGUUAGGUGCAGGGGAGCCCCUCGCCAAGCGUCGGGAGACGUGGACCCUUGGAUCCUAGGCUUCCCCUCCCUUCCCCAUUGCGGAGGUUGCCUCUCCCCGUCCUCAUUCCAGCCCAGCUCCUCUCACCUCCAGGGAACCCUCUCCAGAGAGCGCCACUGAGCAGCUCAGGAGCUCCCUCUCUAGCCGAACUGAGCCCCCACGGCAGGGCGGGCCGGGGAAGUGGCUGUCCAGCUCCCUGCUGGUCACAGCCCUGCGCCACCCCCACUCUCCACAACAAGACUGGCACAUGGCAGAACCUCCGUGGUGCCUUCAACCCCUGCCCACUCUGAGCUCCCACCCACAGCUGCAGUGGGCCUGGAGGCAGCCCCCAGGCUGGGUGCCGGUGUCCACCUCCACCACUGUGGAGCUAGGCUGUGGACAGAAAACAGAAGACAAAGUCCCUGCCCCAGGAACACACUGAGAAAGGGGGAAAGUGACCACACUAGGGAGCACAGAGGAGGGAGACUACUGGCUCCGAGUUGGGAAGGCUGCCUGGAGGAGGGGGCCUGAAGAAUGAGCAGAAUCUCAGAAUCUGGGCAGGGGGCAUAGGAGGGAGGCCUGGGCUGGGGCCCUUGCCCACUGGGUGAGAGAAGGAAGGGCACAGUCCAGCUGCCCAAAGCCCUUGGAUGCAGGAAUUAGGACUCUUGUUAGACGCAGGGACAUGGGGGGUGUGGCCGGAAAGCAGCCCAGUGCCAGGGUCCUGGGAGUCCCCGGCUAGCAGCCCACUGCCCGAAAGGGAGGGAGAGAGGCAAACUGGAAGCCCCUUAGAGGUGACCCACCUAGCUUUCCGUCACCUGCCCUCUUACCUAACCAUGACCUGAGACAUUUUCUCCUCUAACUCCAUGGCUCCUGAGAGGAGUCUUUAGACUCGUAGUUUGCUUUGCAUUUUCCACUUGUUAGAAAAAUGCUUUGUGGUGCCCAUCCUCGUGUGCAUAACUUUGCUUUCUUUUACUUUAGUUCCUUAGAUUCCCAAAAGUGGUCAAAGGGUUGGGAUUUUUUCCUAGCUCUUGAUAUUGCCAGAUUAAUUUCCAAAGGGGCCGUACCAAUAUAUAACCCUGCAACAGUUGAACAGCACGCUGAUUUCACAGCAAUCUUGCCAGCACUGCGUGUUCUCAAAAAUGAGAACAUUUCUAAUGCAGUAGGUGGGAAGUGUUACCUCGUUGGUCAUUGUUACUUGUUUAUUGGAGUGGCUUUCCUUCCACGCCUGAAGUUGAACCUUCCCCCAAAUAUUUGUUAGGCCACCGCAUUCCCUCCUUCCUGCAGUAUGCAGUGUUUUCAGGUUCUUUGCCCAUUUAUCUACAGGGGUCUUAACCUUUUAGUUGGGUAUGAGCUUUAUCUUAUCUGGCGUACAUUUUCCUUCAACACUGUUAUUUGCUUUUGUUGAGCUUUAAGCAGAGAAGGGACUUUUAGCCAGAUCAGCAUUGUGGACACCUCCCCCUGACCCUGGUCUCCUGCCUCAGUGCUCACCACACCUGAGACCUUGUCCAGUGCUCUUGCUGCCUGUGGAUCUGUCCCGCCUGUUGUGCCCAUGGAGGAAAGGAUGGAGGCCACCAGCCUUGGUUGAGUGGAUGGCAUUCUGACGUUGGGCAGGGCUGGGCAGGGCAGGGUGGAGGGCAGGUCGUUGCAGGCCCGGAGGCAGGGAGACUGUUGUGCAAGACGUGACAGUGACCUGGCCUAAAGCUGAUGAAUUUGAGCCCUCGGCUAGGGCAAGGGACAGGGGAGAGAGGCGUGGAUGUGAGAGAUAUUUAGGUAGAAACUAGUUCUUUCCACUUUGAUUAGCCGAAGGGGGGUUAAGGGAAGGAGGCAGAGGGGGGAGCCACGGGUGACUCUUAGGAUCAGUAAUGUGAUAAGAGCAGAGUGCCCCAGUUUAGGGCUGGGAGCUCAGGGUUCCUGGGUGCUUUUGGCCAGUCCUGUGCGAGUGAAGCGGGCUGGUAUUGGUAGGUAUCCAGGAGCUACCCCUGCCUGCCUAGCCCUGCAGCAGACCUCUGGGCCAAAGCUGCACUAAGUUUCUGGUCCUGCCUCCUCCUCCCCUCCGUGAUUUCGGUGGCAUCCCAAGUUUGCCCAAGCUGCUAGCUCUGAGCCCAUUACAGAGAUGGGGCCACUGAGAUCCAGGCAGGGGAGAAGAUGCUCCAGUAUCACCCUGUGAGUUGGGCUGGAGGCAGCUUCUGCGGCAGAGGGGCUGGGCUCUGGUCCUCACCCCUCCCCCUGCCUCCCGAGGCCAGGCUGGCGCCGGCCAGGGGAGCCGCAGCUGGUCCCCUGCUGGGCCCCUGACCUGCCCUUGGCCUCUGCCCCGACCCCGUCCCGCCUCGGUGGAAGCCCCAGCUCAGCCGACUCGCAGGUCCCACCCGACUGCUUCGGCUAGCACCCGUUGGCUCACCG